rnacentral:rRNA from 1 species
GAUGAACGCUGACAGAAUGCUUAACACAUGCAAGUCAACUUGAACUUCGGUUUGGGUGGCGGACGGGUGAGUAACGCGUAAAGAACUUGCCUCACGGCUAGGGACAACAUUUGGAAACGAAUGCUAAUACCUGAUAUUAUGAUUUUAGGGCACCCUAGAAUUAUGAAAGCUAUAUGCGCUGUGAGAGAGCUUUGCGUCCCAUUAGCUAGUUGGAGAGGUAACGGCUCACCAAGGCGAUGAUGGGUAGCCGGCCUGAGAGGGUGAACGGCCACAAGGGGACUGAGACACGGCCCUUACUCCUACGGGAGGCAGCAGUGGGGAAUAUUGGACAAUGGACCAAGAGUCUGAUCCAGCAAUUCUGUGUGCACGAUGAAGUUUUUCGGAAUGUAAAGUGCUUUCAGUUGGGAAGAAAAAAAUGACGGUACCAACAGAAGAAGUGACGGCUAAAUACGU